GGGGUCGCGAUAAGGAGCGCGUACGCGACUUGCGUGCCCGUCCUGGCGGGCGGCCUCACGAAAGUCGUGGGCCAGAUGGACCUUUAUCUCGGGGGAAUCCCAUGGCCGUUGCUGGCAGGGGCGGGGAACCCGGACCUUUAGCGUGAAACGAUUGUACUGCGAAAGCAGGCCGUUGCUCCGAUGCGUUUUGGUGGAAUAAAAGAAUAAGAUGUGCGGGAUUUUUUUGUUGGUUUCUAUCACCCCCCUAAUGAUUAAUAGGGAUAGGGGGGGACUUCAGUAUUCAGCGGUCGAAGGUGCAAUUGUUGGAUUUGCUGAUGACAAACUGCUGCAAAAGCGUUCAUCGAUGAUUUUUUCAUUAAUCACGGAACGAAAGUUAGGGGAUCGAAGACGAUCAAAUACCGUCGUAUUCUUAACCAUAAACUAUGCCGACUAGGGAUCGGGCGGAGUUUCUAUGAUGACCCGCUCGGCACCUUACGAAAAAUCAAAGUUUGUUGGGUUCUGGGGGGAGUAUGGUCGCAAGGCUGAAACUUAAAGAAAUUGACGGACGGGCACCACAAGGCGUGGAGCCUGCGGCUUAAUUUGACUCAACACGGGGAAACUCACCAGGUCCAGACAAAAUAAGGAUUGACAGAUUGAGAGCUCUUUCUUGAUCUUUUGGAUGGUGGUGCAUGGCCGUUCUUAGUUGGUGCAGUGGAUUUGUCUGCUAAAAUGCAAUAACGAACGAGACCCUCGGCCUUCAGUAGCCGGGUCCCCGCUUGCGGUCGCUGGCUUCUCAAGGGGACUAUCGGAUCAGCCGAUCGUAGUACUGGCACUAUGACGUCUGUGAUGCCCCUAGAUGUCUCGGCGCAGCCCGCUACACGACG
rnacentral:rRNA from 1 species